GGGGCUGACUUGGAUUUCGACAGAUUUCUUGUUGCGCAGACAGCAUGCCAAGUGCUACUUGUAAAACAGCAACAAAAAUAACUGUAAACAACGCAGAUUACGCUCCAGCUUACGCUAAAGUUGCGUGAGUUAAUCUCCUUUUGGAGCUGGACUGAUUAGAAUUUCUAGCGUUUUAAUCACUCCAUAACCUUAAGCUAGACGCUUUUAAAAGGUGGUUCGCCUUUUAAACUAAGAAACAAGAACUCUUGAAACUACCUCAAGGUUUUAGAAAGUUGGACCAGAGCUAGUUUUAAGGCUAAAAAACUAACCAAUUUUCUAAGCAUUGUAGAAGUUUGUGUUUAGGGCAAGAUUUUUGGACUGGGGUUCGAUUCCCCACAGCUCCACCA
rnacentral:tmRNA from 1 species